rnacentral:tRNA from 1 species
UAAUAUGAAGCAAUACUGCAAUUAGUUUCGACCUAAUAAUUUGAUAAACAUUAUCCAUAUUAA